UACGGAGGGGGCGAGCGUUAUUCGGAAUUAUUGGGCGUAAAGGGCGCGUAGGCGGCUGUACAAGUCAAAGGUGAAAUCCCUCGGCUCAACUGAGGAACUGCCUUUGAAACUGUACGCUUGAGGCCGGGAGGGGGUAGCGGAAUUCCCAAUGUAGCGGUGAAAUGCGUAGAUAUUGGGAGGAACACCAGUGGCGAAGGCGGCUACCUGGACCGGUUCUGACGCUGAGGCGCGAAAGCGUGGGGAGCAAACAGG
rnacentral:rRNA from 1 species